GGUAAACGCUGGCGGCGUGCCUAAAACAUGCAAGUCGAACGAACCCUUCGGGGUUAGUGGCAGACUGCUGAGUAACGCGUGGGUGACAUACCCGUUGGUGGGGAAUAACUGCCCGAAAGGGUGGCUAAUACCGCAUACGCCCAUUGGAUCGUUCCGAUGGGGAAAGUCGUAAGACGCCGAUGGACUGGCCCGCGUUCGAUUAGCUUGUUGGUGGGGUAACGGCCUACCAAGGCGACGAUCGAUAGCUGGUCUCAGAGGAUGAUCAGCCAGACUGGGACUGAGACACGGCCCAGACUCCUACGGGAGGCAGCAGUUAGGAAUUUUGGGCAAUGGGCGAAAGCCUGACCCAGCAACGCCGCGUGGGUGACGAAGGCCUUCGGGUUGUAAAGCCCUUUUCUGAGGGAAGAUAGUGACGGUACCUCAGGAAUAAGCACCGGCUAACUACGUGC
rnacentral:rRNA from 1 species